rnacentral:rRNA from 1 species
AGGACGAACGCUAGCGGCAUGCCUAACACAUGCAAGUCGAACGGUAACAGGCCCUUCGGGGUGCUGACGAGUGGCGGACGGGUGAGUAAUGCGUAGGAAUCUACCCACGAGUGGGGGAUAGCCCGGAGAAAUCCGGAUUAAUACCGCAUAUGCCCUACGGGGUAAAGCGGGGGAUCGUAAGACCUCGCGCUGGUGGAUGAGCCGAUGUCCGAUUAGCUGGUUGGUGGGGUAACGGCCCACCAAGGCGACGAUGGUAGCUGGUCUGAGAGGAUGAUCAGCCACACUGGGACUGAGACACGGCCCAGACUCCUACGGGAGGCAGC